CCUACGGGGGGCAGCAGUGGGGAAUAUUGGACAAUGGGGGCAACCCUGAUCCAGCCAUGCCGCGUGUGUGAAGAAGGCCCUCGGGUUGUAAAGCACUUUCAGUGAGGAAGAACGCCUGGUGGUUAAUACCCAUCAGGAAAGACAUCACUCACAGAAGAAGCACCGGCUAACUCCGUGCCAGCAGCCGCGGUAAUACGGAGGGUGCGAGCGUUAAUCGGAAUUACUGGGCGUAAAGCGCGCGUAGGUGGCUUGAUAAGCCGGUUGUGAAAGCCCCGGGCUCAACCUGGGAACGGCAUCCGGAACUGUCAAGCUAGAGUGCAGGAGAGGAAGGUAGAAUUCCCGGGGUAGCGGUGAAAUGCGUAGAGAUCGGGAGGAAUACCAGUGGCGAAGGCGGCCUUCUGGACUGACACUGACACUGAGGUGCGAAAGCGUGGGUAGCAAACAGGAUUAGAUACCCGUGUAGUC
rnacentral:rRNA from 1 species